GCGUUUAUUUGUGUUGGACCGUACGUACGUGACGGAUUCGGACUGCGUGAUGGUGGCGGAAGCGUUCGGGAAAGUAGCAUAACAUCGUUGUCGGGCAGUCGAUGCGCCAGCACGGUCGCAUGUGUAUAAUUAGUUGUAGUUAUUGUAGUCAAUUUUUUUUCUUUCCUCUUCGCGUUCCGUUCACAACCGUAGUGCGUGUCCGAUCGCAAUAAUAUCGUGUGUAUGGCUCGACAAUGUCGCCGCCACCCGUAGUCCGAUCGUAUUGAUGAGAGCAUCGCGAGAACCGCACACCCGCCCGUAUCCGUCCGUCACCGACGUCCUUUUAACUUCGUAGGCAGUGAGCUAGUUGGUUAGUGAGCGUGUGUGUGUACGCGCGCCAAGUUUCAUUACCAUCGAGUGUAGCUGUAGCUGUAAUAUUAUAAGUAGUGUUGUUGGUGGUGCCGUGCGUCCCGCAGACACGGCCAACAUGGAGUUACGAUUACACAGCCCCGUGGGUGCCGAUCCCGUCGUCUAUAAAUGGCCAAUGAUCAUCGGAAGAGGCUCGGACAAACACGAUGGCGCUUUGGGAAUUAUAGAAACAAUAAAAUGGGUGUGCGACGACUUCCCAGACAUGAAAAUUCCUCUAGAAAAUAACAUACUAUGCGACUACAACACGAAAUCAUAUGACAGCAUGAAGUCUUUGUGCGACAGGUUCAAUAAGGCUAUUGACAGCAUGGUGCAAAUGAAUAAAGGAACUUCUUUACAAAAGUUUAGUAAGAAAGCAUCAAGAGGUCUUCUUCGUCAUAUAAUACAACAAGUAUACAAUGUUUCUGUUACUGACCCUGAUAAACUGAAUCAGUAUGAACCAUUUUCACCUGAAGUGUAUGGAGAAACAUCAUUUGAUCUCAUCUGCCAAAUGAUCGAUCUAAUAAACAUCACAGAAGAUGAUAUAUUUAUUGAUCUUGGAUCUGGUGUGGGCCAAAUAGUUUUACAAAUGGCUGCUACAACUCAGUGUAAAAUGUGUUGGGGUGUUGAAAAAGCUGAUGUACCUUCAUCAUACUCACAAUAUAUGAAUUCUAAUUUUCAAAAAUGGAUGUCUUGGUAUGGUAAACACUAUGGCCAAUAUCAACUUCUGAAAGGAGAUUUUUUGAGUGAAGACCAUAGAGAAAAAAUAACUAAUGCCACAAUUGUAUUUGUGAAUAAUUAUGCAUUUGGACCUCAGGUAGACCAUAUGUUGAAACAAAGAUUUGCUGACCUCAAAGAUGGAGCCAGAAUUGUUUCUUCGAGAUCAUUUUGCCCCCUUAAUUUUCGAAUGUCCGAGCGUAAUUUAAGUGAUAUUGGAACUAUUAUGCAUGUGUCAGCAAUGGAACCUAUUACUGGUUCAGUUUCAUGGACUUGUAACCCUGUUAAGUAUUAUCUACAUGUUAUUGAUCGAACUAAGCUCGAGCGGUAUUUUACUCAAAAUAAGCCUCCCGUUUCAAAAUCAAGGGUCAAUGGAGAAAAACAAAAACCAAUAACAAAUCCUAAUGUUAUUAUUAGUUCAUCUGAUGAUACAGACUCAUUGUUUAGCACUUUAAAUGGUGAUAGUGUUGAUGGGAGUGUUACAGCUCAAGUAUUAGCAACUGAUAAAACUAAAAUAAAUAGUAAUGGACGACGUGCAUGGUCAGAUCUAGGUGGACAAAAUAGCGAGGAAGAAAAUGAAAAUAAUACAGAAAACCACAGUAGGACUACACGAAAAGUAAUGAAGCGUAAUACACCACGUCGCAGUCGUAGUUUUAAAAUCAACCCAACUGCAUUUCAUAACCGAUCUCAUUCUGAGACAACUGCCACUGAGAAAAAGAUAAUUGAAAAAAUUACAAAGGGAAAAAGAGUUAUUUCUACAACUCGUAAACCAAAAUCUAAGCGUAAAGCAUCUAAACGUAAUGUUAAAAUAUCAGCAUCACUGAAUUUGUUACAUAGUGAAACAGUUUUAAGUACAACUCCAGAAGUAUCCAUGAGUAUUAAAGAACCCCCAAAAGGUUGCAUUGAUCAUACUUUGACUUCAAUCACGGGAGUUGGUGCUGGAUAUGCAGCUACCCAUACUGAACUUCCUCCGCCAACUGGAGAUAUACCGUAUUCAUUACAAUUACUUCUGGACGAUUAUAAAGAAGGGUUCAUGAACAUGAUAAAUAUGUUUAAAAAUCAAAAAUUCCGUGAAGAUAUCGAAACACGAAUAAAAGCUGAAAAAGAGAAAAAACAAAAUUUAAACAUGAAAAUUAAUCAAAUCAAAAAACAAGUUGAUCAUUUAAUUACAGACAGUUGUUGUCUUUUAAAGACUCGAAUGAAAGAACUUGAUAUUUAUCCUACUAAUACGACAGGAGAUGUUUUGACUGCAGCUAAAGUAAUUGUAUUACGGCAUAAAGAUUUACAAGCUAAAGUAGCAAAGGUGAAAAAUGAAACUAAUUUAUUGGAAAAUCAAUAUUGGGACUUAUACUAUAAGAGAGCUGCUGAAGUUGAUGCUGUUGGUACUCCUAGUCUUUUAAUAGAAAACGAAAAUGAUAACCCAACAGAUCAAGAAAUAAACACACAACAUUUGUUAAUGACUGAACUUGUGAAAAAUCGAAAAAGAAAACAUACAUUGUCUACAAAUAUUGAAUCAGUCAAAAAUGAAAUUGAUAACUUGGAAAAACAAAAUACAUCAAAUAAAUUAAACAAUAAUGCUUUAACAAAUCAAAUGUGCAAUAGUAAAAAAUCAAGAAUCCGCUCACAAGAUUGGCCAGACGUACCUGAUAUAGCAAGAAUUGAUGAAAAGAACCCAGAAAUUCUGGCUCAAAAAAUAUUGGAAACUGGUAGACAAAUUGAAGCUAGAAAAAUAAUUGAAAAUGGUAGACAUGUUGAAUUAGCGACACGGUAUCAACGCUCAAAUAAAAUCUAUAAUAGAAAUUCAUCAGACACUUCGCUUAAAGUACCUUUCUACGAUGAACAUGUUAAAGAUCUCAUUACUAAUGCUUUAAAUGAGCCUUCAUCUAAAGGACCUGAUUAUACUAUUGUAUCACCUGCCAAAGUUGCAUUGCGUAGACAUUUAUCACAGGAAAAAAUUUCACCUAGUCCAUUGAUGAAGCAGCAAAAUGUCAUAACUAGAACAAUUGGUGAUGUGUUGAAUAAUGAAAUUGAAAGAUGUUUGGAAAUGGAUAGACAUAAUCGAACAUUAGAAAUUAGCAAUCAGUCCAUAAUUAAUGCGGUUGUACCACUCGCCAUGCCUAAUAGAACCAAAGACACCAGUCAAGUUAUUAACCAAACAUUGCCUUCAGAAAAACGUACAUUUAUGUACAUACCAUUACCUAAAGCAGAACUUAAACCAUAUCAAGAGUCAUUAUUCAAUGAUGAUACCCCUCCUCCUCAUUUAACCACUCUUAAAGAAGAACCUGUUGAAGGAUUGGCUGCAUCACUACACGAUAGAUUAUUGGAUAAUGAUGGAGAUGAUAGCAAUGGUGAUGAAGGCUUGUCAUUUAAAGAAGAAAAGACUGAAUCCGAUACACAAUCGCCACACAGAAUACUCAAACGCAGUUCUGAAUCACCUGGUCCAAUGAAUGCCAAAAAAAUGACACCCAUGUCUGACAGACUACCCUCAGAAGAAGGACAUAAUACUCGUACUCUAAAGUAUGUCGCAAGAAGUAUUAUUUAGCUGUAUAAAUAGAAACUUUAGCUGGCCUAAUGGAAUUGGAAUACAUAGUAAAAUAUUAAGAUGAAAAAUGGAAUGAUCGUAUUCGUGAAAGAUUUGAUAGCUUGGUGACAUUUGCAUCUUUAGAAUUGGAUAAACGACGUCG
rnacentral:misc_RNA from 1 species